UCGGGGUGCCAAAUGUCCCGUGCAGGACACCGUACAGUAGGUGUUCCUCCGCUAACGGGACGGGAACGACAUCUGUUCGGCUGCGGAACGCGACGCCGAUUCAUCGGGCGCGUCCGCGCGUCGCCUUAAAGGCGCCGCCCGCUGUUCCGGGCGAGACAAGGUCACAGGCCAAGCUAACAGGACUGCGGGGACGACCGGAUGCUGUGCUUCCUGGCGUUUGGCGGAUGGGCGUGUUUCCUGGAGCAAACGGCCGUGGGAGCUGCAGGUCAGGCUUGGUGUCUCUCACUACGCUGGAAAACGCUGUUGCUCAGAAACAUCAGGGGAAGAAAAAAAAGCGGUGAAUAAAACAUUUCCUUCACAACAAACUCUUUUAAACCGUGCAUGUUCCCAUUUACACACCGACGCCCUCCUGUUUGCAGCGCGUCUCCACAUAUUCCUGAACCACUUUCCACGGAAAUUCAACAACUUUCCAUCACGAUUUCCUCAGCAAUUAUCUAAAGUCUUUUACAUGUGUUGUUGUUGAUGCUACAACACAAAGUUGUACCUGAUAGUUUCG